ACCAAUGAAAACUCCAACUCGACAGAGCAUGCGAAAGUAUUGCCACUUCUAUCGUGAUCACGGUCAUGAUACCGAGGAGUGUCUCCAAUCGAAGGAUGAAAUCAAGGCACUUAUCCAACAAGGCUAUCUCAACAAAUAUGUUGAGGAGUGAUAGAAUCGAGCACCUAAAGAGCCACCUCAAUACUAGCCAAGCGAGGAGA
rnacentral:lncRNA from 1 species